rnacentral:rRNA from 1 species
CAGUCGCCGCGGGAAUACGUAGGGUGCGAGCGUUAAUCGGAAUUACUGGGCGUAAAGCGUGCGCGGGCGGUUGUGUAAGACAGGUGUGAAAUCCCCGGGCUUAACCUGGGAACUGCGCUUGUGACUGCACAGCUAGAGUAUGGCAGAGGGGGGUGGAAUUCCACGUGUAGCAGUGAAAUGCGUAGAGAUGUGGAGGAACACCGAUGGCGAAGGCAGCCCCCUGGGCCAAUACUGACGCUCAUGCACGAAAGCGUGGGGAGCAAACAGGAUUAGAUACCCCUGUAGUCCCUGUCUCUUAUAC